GCUUUGCGCGUGCUCAUCAGUAAAUGUCUUGAAACUUUAAAAUGGUUUUGUAAGGGUUUAUAUAGACCAUAAUAUCUUUGUUUGGUGCACGAGUGUGGGUAAAACCGAGGGAGAAAAAGUCAGUGCGAGUCAUCAAUCGGAGAGUUCUAGGAAGUAUAUUGUAUGGAAACGUUGUGUCCUAGGGAAGUUUUCAGUUCUGAUUCC
rnacentral:lncRNA from 1 species